ACCCACUCAUGCUGUCUCUGUCUCCCUUGAAAAAAAUAAACUAGAAAAAAAACUAAAAGCCUUGGUCAAACAGGAUUGGCAUGUCAGGGCAGCUGCUCAGUCCCCAAGGCUGCCCCUCAAACCCCCACUUCAGAUACCAAUCUGCCUGACAUUGGUUGUCAUCUGUUAUUCUGACGGACCAGCUAUAGAUGGGGGUUCCAAGAACCCAGUCCCUGGGACAACUGAUUUGCUAGAAAGUUCACAACUCAGAGAAACAUUUUACUUACUAGAUUACUGGUGUGGCUUUUUUGUUUAUUUGAGAGAGAGCAUGCUAGCAGGGAACAGCACACGUCUGACUCCAG